UUUAUUGGGCGUAAAGCGAGCGCAGGCGGUUCUUUAAGUCUGAUGUGAAAGCCCCCGGCUCAACCGGGGAGGGUCAUUGGAACUGGAGAACUUGAGUGCAGAAGAGGAGAGUGGAGUUCCACGUGUAGCGGUGAAAUGCGUAGAUAUGUGGAGGAACACCAGUGGCGAAGGCGACUCUCUGGUCUGUAACUGACGCUGAGGCUCGAAAGCGUGGGGAGCAAACAGGAUUAGAUACCCUGGUAGUCAAGGGCG
rnacentral:rRNA from 1 species